GACGAACGCUGGCGGCGUGCUUAACACAUGCAAGUCGUACGGUAAGGCCCUUUCGGGGGUACACGAGUGGCGAACGGGAGAGUAACACGUGAGUAACCUGCCCACAACUUUGGGAUAACGCUAGGAAACUGGUGCUAAUACUGGAUAUGUGCUCCUGCUGCAUGGUGGGGGUUGGAAGGCUCCGGCGGUUGUGGAUGGACUCGCGGCCUAUCAGCUUGUUGGUGGGGUAGUGGCCUACCAAGGCGGCGACGGGUAGCCGGCCUGAGAGGGUGACCGGCCACAUUGGGACUGAGAUACGGCCCAGACUCCUACGGGAGGCAGCAGUGGGGAAUAUUGCACAAUGGGCGCAAGCCUGAUGCAGCAACGCCGCGUGCGGGAUGACGGCCUUCGGGUUGUAAACCGCUUUCAGCAGGGACGAAGCUUUUUGUGACGGUACCUGCAGAAGAAGCACCGGCUAACUACGUG
rnacentral:rRNA from 1 species